UACGUAGGGCGCGAGCGUUGUCCGGAAUUAUUGGGCGUAAAGAGCUCGUAGGCGGCCUGUUGCGUCUGCUGUGAAAUCCCGAGGCUCAACCUCGGGCCUGCAGUGGGUACGGGCAGACUGGAGUGCGGUAGGGGAGAAUGGAAUUCCUGGUGUAGCGGUGGAAUGCGCAGAUAUCAGGAAGAACACCAAUGGCGAAGGCAGCUCUCUGGGACGGUACUGACGCUGAGACGCGAAAGCGUGGGGAGCGAACAGG
rnacentral:rRNA from 1 species